rnacentral:misc_RNA from 1 species
GAUGAAGAACGUAGCGAAAUGCGAUAAGUAGUGUGAAUUGCAGAAUUCAGUGAAUCAUCGAAUCUUUGAACGCACAUUGCGCCCUUCGGUAUUCCGUUGGGCAUGCCUGUUCGAGCGUCAUUUAAACCUUCAAGCUCUGCUUGGUGUUGGGUGUUUGUUCCGCCUGCGCGCGCGGACUCGCCUCAAAUUCAUUGGCAGCCGGUAUGUUGGCUUCGUGCACAGCACAUUGUGUCGCGACUCCAGCCUGCCUCCUUCCAUCAAGCCCCCUUAUUACUUUGGCCUCGGAUCAGGUAGGGAUACCCGCUGAACUUAAGCAUAUCAAUAAGCGGAGGA